CCGGAAGCCCCGUGCAUGAGUGGCGGACGGGUGAGUAACGCGUGGGCGAACCUGCCCCGUACCCGGGGGAGUAACACCUGGAAACAGGUGCUAAUACCGCAUAAUAAGAGGUUCCGCAUGGGGCCUCCUUGAAAACUCCGGUGGUACGGGAUGGACCCGCGUCUGAUUAGCUGGUUGGCGGGGUAACGGCCCACCAAGGCGACGAUCAGUAGCCGGCCUGAGAGGGUGGACGGCCACAUUGGGACUGAGACACGGCCCAGACUCCUACGGAAGGCAGCAG
rnacentral:rRNA from 1 species